AUGAAGGAUCUAGGAGUAGCUGAUGUUAUCUUAAACAUCAAGCUGUUGAGAGAUGAGAAUGGUGGGAUCACACUGCUUCAGUCUCACUAUGUGGAAAAGGUCUUGAGUCGUUUUGGGUAUAGCGACUGCAUGCCUUCUCCAACUCCAUAUGAUGCUAGUCUGAGUCGGUUUGUGUCAAAACCGGGAGAUGAUCAUUGGCGUGCGCUUGAGAGAGUUAUGCGCUACUUGAAGGGCACUGCGAGCUAUGGGAUUCACUACACCGGGUAUCCAAGGGUACUGGAGGGUUAUAGUGACUCGAACUGGAUAUCUGAUGCUGAUGAGAUUAAGGCCACAAGUGGUUAUGUUUUUACACUUGGUGGUGGCGCUGUUUCCUGGAAGUCUUGCAAGCAGACCAUCUUAACGAGGUCAACUAUGAAAGCAGAACUCACAGCAUUAGACACUGCCACUGUUGAAGCAGAGUGGCUUCGUGAGCUAUUGAUGGACUUACCUAUGGUUGAAAAACCAAUACCCCCUAUCCUGAUGAACUGUGAUAAUCAAACUGUGAUAGUCAAGAUAAACAGUUCUAAGGACAAUAUGAAGUCCUCAAGGCAUGUGAAGAGGAGAUUAAAAUCUGUCAGGAAACUGAGGAACUCCGGAGUUAUUACGUUGGAUUAUAUCCAAACAUCGAAAAACUUGGCAGAUCCCUUCACAAAGGGUCUAUCACGUAAUGUGAUAGAUAAUGCAUCGAUGGAAAUGGGUUUGAGACCCACC
rnacentral:rRNA from 1 species